CAUCAAGUUAGUAAGGGCAUACGGAGGAUGCCUUGGGGCAAGGAGCCGAUGAAGGACGCGGCAGGCGGCGAAACGCUCCGGGGAGGUGCGAGCAACCGUUGAUCCGGAGGUCUCCGAAUGGGGCAACCCGGCGCAGGGAAACCUGCGUCACCGCCCGUAAGGGCGGAGGGAACCGGGCGAACUGAAACAUCUUAGUAGCCCGAGGAAAAGAAAGCAACAGCGAUUCCCCAAGUAGCGGCGAGCGAACGGGGAAGAGCCCAAACCCACCGGGUGCAAAAGGCUGUGGCCGUUGCUCGGUGGGGGUUGUAGGCAUCCGUCUUCCUGCUUCCACAGGAGCAGGGGGAAGUUACAAAGGACCUAUCUAGCCGAACCGUCCUGGAAAGGCGGGCCAUAGAAGGUGAUAGCCCUGUAGGCGAAAGGUAGGUCCCUUCCCGACGGAUAGCCUGAGUACCCCGGGACACGUGAAACCCUGGGGGAAGCAGGGAGGACCACCUCCCAAGGCUAAAUACUCCUUGCCACCGAUAGCGCAUAGUACCGUGAGGGAAAGGUGAAAAGAACCCCGGAAGGGGAGUGAAAUAGAACCUGAAUCCGUAUGCCUACAAGCAGUAGGAGCCCUACGGUCUCCCUUUUGGGAGACAAUGGGUGACUGCGUGCCUUUUGCAGAAUGAGCCGGGGAGUUGCUUGGUGUCGCUCAGGUUAAGCGCCUCAGGCGCGGAGCCGUAGCGAAAGCGAGUCCGAAUAGGGCGUAUGGAAGCUUUAUGCUUCCAGGGUGGCACUAAGCAGACCCGAAACCGGGCGAGCUACCCAUGCCCAGGGUGAAAGAGGGGUAAAGCCCUCUGGAGGCCCGAACGGGUUAGGGGUGAAAACCUAUCCGAUGAGGUGUGGGUAGUGUGGGUGAAAUGCCAAUCGAGCCCGGAGAU
rnacentral:rRNA from 1 species